GAAACAUUUUUUGGAAAAGGAGUCCGUCAUUGAUUUAAUUAUUCGACGUUUCAACGAACCAAUUGAAUAUUUUAGAAAUCUACUCGAUGGAUACAUUGAGAAUUCUGAUCUCGGAAGUUCAUAUGAAUUUAAAUUUGAUUUUUCAAUUUUGCAUCCAUCAUCUACAAAAACGGGGACGAGCUGCUGCCCAUCAUCAGGAAAAUCCGAUCAUCAAAUGUGUGUUCUUAAUGAGAUUUUAAAUUCAUUCAAUGAAUCAUACAGCAGUGAAUGGAGCUUUUUACAACAUCCUUUAAUUGAAGUGUAUUUGAUAUGGAAAUGGCGACAUUAUCGAAGGUUUUUCUACAUUUUGGUGGCAGUACACAUUUUAUUUGUUGCAUUACUCUCGACGUCUUCGUUGAUGAUUGGAAACCAUUAUAGAAGGUUUUUAAAGGGUCAAAAUAAUAAAGAAUUGCAUCUCAGGAAUAACGACGAUACGGUUUUACGUUGGUUAAAUGUAAUUAACGUCUUGCUGCUAUUCUUCGGAUUUCAAC